ACUGAACGCUGGCGGCAUGCCUAACACAUGCAAGUCGAACGGCAGCGCGGGUAGCAAUACCUGGCGGCGAGUGGCGGACGGGUGAGGAAUACAUCGGAAUCUACCCUGUCGUGGGGGAUAACCAACCGAAAGGUUGGCUAAUACCGCAUACGACCGAGAGGUGAAAGCGGAGGACCGCAAGGCUUCGCGCGAUUGGAUGAGCCGAUGUCGGAUUAGCUAGUUGGCGGGGUAAGAGCCCACCAAGGCGACGAUCCGUAGCUGGUCUGAGAGGAUGAUCAGCCACACUGGGACGGAGACACGGCCCAGACUCCUACGGGAGGCAGCAGUGGGGAAUAUUGGACAAUGGGCGCAAGCCUGAUCCAGCAAUGCCGCGUGUGUGAAGAAGGCCUUCGGGUUGUAAAGCACUUUUAUCGGGAGCGAAAAGCGACUGGCUAAUACCCGGUCGUGCUGACGGUACCCGAUGAAUAAGCACCGGCUAACUUCGUGCCAGCCGCCGCGGUAAAAC
rnacentral:rRNA from 1 species